rnacentral:rRNA from 1 species
GACGUAGGGGACGAGCGUUGUCCGGAUUCAUUGGGCGUAAAGCGCGCGUAGGCGGUUCGGUAAGUCGGAUGUGAAAACACGAGGCUCAACCUCGUGCGUGCAUCCGAUACUGUCGGACUAGAGGUAGGUAGGGGAGAUCGGAAUUCCUGGUGUAGCGGUGAAAUGCGCAGAUAUCAGGAGGAACACCGGUGGCGAAGGCGGAUCUCUGGGCCUGACCUGACGCUGAGGCGCGAAAGCUAGGGGAGCAAACAGG